GAGGCACUUCUUGUUGCCCAGUUUUGAGCACUUGGGAUUUUAAUUUCUUUCCAUGUUUCCAGGAGGCUGAACACAGGAAGGGAAAUUGGACUCCCAGCCCUUUGUGAGAAGGGUUGGGUUCUCCUCCAGCCUCAGUUUGCAGAACACUGAUGGAACCCAGCACAGCUAUGAGGAACCUGGAGAAAUGGUUGUCUUGGACUGUGGAUGCCCCCAGGUGAAAUGUUCCAGCAGACCAAGAGUUUCACCCCAGGUGGGUCCAGCACGGGAGCCACGUUCACCUCAAGGCUCAAUUCUACACAAGGAUUGUUCUUCCAACUCUUCGCUGUGUGCUGGCAAAAUUCCAAGUCAAAAAGUCAUGGAAUGUGUACAGAAUGUUUAGGGACUUUGUAUUCCCUGGUUCCAGAGUUUUUCAGGAUCAAAGCA